rnacentral:lncRNA from 1 species
CUUUUCAAUACAGCAUUUUCCUUUUCAUGUGCCUAUCCAAAAAAGGAGAAUACUGCUGGAUUGUUUGGUUUUGGUGCUGCCAAAAGGAAAUGCAUAGAAGGGCAUGAAAAGUUUUGCUGCUCUGUCUACCUGGCUUUCCAGUGGCCUAUUUUUAAAUUAAACUGAUUUAACCCACAUAAUACUUACAUAAACAACUGUCCACUCUGGGCCAAAUUCCAUCCUGACUGAAGGUGCAUUUGGGAUACAAUGGCCCAGAACUGUUCAGUCAUGCCUGGUUGCUCUGAUCCGAAGGAACCACUCUGCUCUGCUUGGAGGCAGUGCUUUCAGGAGGACAACAGGAGUUAUGUGGGCCCUUCUUUCCUGCCUGAAUCCUGUGGAGGAAGAAGCAUUCACGUUCACAUGCUAUUCCUUGUUUCAAGAUUAUUUAAGGAACCACCGCUGUUGAACUAG